UGACCGCUGGCGGCGUGCUUACCACAUGCAAGUCGAACGAUGAAGCCCAGCUUGCUGGGUGGAUUAGUGGCGAACGGGUGAGUAACACGUGAGUAACCUGCCCUUAACUCUGGGAUAAGCCUGGGAAACUGGGUCUAAUACCGGAUAGGAGCGUCCACCGCAUGGUGGGUGUUGGAAAGAUUUAUCGGUUUUGGAUGGACUCGCGGCCUAUCAGCUUGUUGGUGAGGUAAUGGCUCACCAAGGCGACGACGGGUAGCCGGCCUGAGAGGGUGACCGGCCACACUGGGACUGAGACACGGCCCAGACUCCUACGGGAGGCAGCAGUGGGGAAUAUUGCACAAUGGGCGCAAGCCUGAUGCAGCGACGCCGCGUGAGGGAUGACGGCCUUCGGGUUGUAAACCUCUUUCAGUAGGGAAGAAGCGAAAGUAACGGUACCUGCAGAAGAAGCACCGGCUAACUACGUG
rnacentral:rRNA from 1 species